GAUGAACGCUAGCUACAGGCUUAACACAUGCGAGUCGAGGGGUAACGAGAGGAAAGCUUGCUUUCCUUGUCGACGACCGGCGCACGGGUGAGUAACGCGUAUCCAACCUGCCCCCAACUAGGGAAUAACCUUGCGAAAGUAAGACUAAUACCCUAUAAUUUCCUCAGAUGUCAUCUGACGAGGAAUAAAGAUUUAUCGGUUGUGGAUGGGGAUGCGUCUGAUUAGCUUGUUGGCGGGGUAACGGCCCACCAAGGCAACGAUCAGUAGGGGUUCUGAGAGGAAGGUCCCCCACAUUGGAACUGGGACACGGUCCAAACUCCUACGGGAGGCAGCAGUGAGGAAUAUUGGUCAAUGGGCGGAAGCCUGAACCAGCCAAGUAGCGCGCAGGAUGACGGCCCUAUGGGUUGUAAACUGCUUUUAUACAGGAAUAAAGUUAGCCACGUGUGGUUAUUUGUAGGUACUGUAUGAAUAAGGACCGGCUAAUUCCGUGCCAGCAGCCGCCGUAA
rnacentral:rRNA from 1 species